GAUGAACGCUAGCUACAGGCUUAACACAUGCAAGUCGCGGGGCAGCAUGGGGGUUGCUUGCAACCCCUGAUGGCGACCGGCGCACGGGUGAGUAACGCGUAUCCAACCUGCCCUUCACCACGGGAUAACCCGGCGAAAGUCGGACUAAUACCGUAUGUUGUCCAUUGACGGCAUCCGAUUUGGACGAAAGGCUUGGGGGGGAACGGGUGGGGAUGCGUUCGAUUAGCUUGACGGGGGGGUAACGGCCCACCGUGGCUACGAUCGGUAGGGGUUCUGAGAGGAAGGUCCCCCACACUGGAACUGAGACACGGUCCAGACUCCUACGGGAGGCAGCAGUGAGGAAUAUUGGUCAAUGGGCGUAAGCCUGAACCAGCCAAGUAGCGUGCAGGAUGACGGCCCUAUGGGUUGUAAACUGCUUUUAUGCGGGGAUAAAGUGGCCCACGUGUGGGCUUUUGCAGGUACCGCAUGAAUAAGAACCGGCUAAUUCCGUG
rnacentral:rRNA from 1 species